CUGUUUCAACAGCAUAUGUACUAAAAUUGGAACGAUCCAGGGAAGAUUAGCAUUACCCCUAUGCAAGGAUGACGUGCAAAUUCAUGAAGUGUUCCAUAUUUCA
rnacentral:snRNA from 1 species